GUCUGCCCGGGAGGAGUGGAUUUAGGCCCAGGCCAGACUCCAGGUCCUUCCUGGAGUUUUCUGGGGAAGCCAUUUUGGUGGCGAUUUGGCAACCAGAAGGAAUGGGGGCAGCAGCCGACGGUGAGAGCAGGACCAGGCGCGCGCACUCUCUCACACGGUCUCUCAACACCAAGGCUUCCUGAGGCGGCCAUCUUGAUAGUGCCCAUCCCCCCCCAGAUGGCUCUUAUUCCACAGAGGAGCCAGGAGUGGGCCACCAGGUGGCACUCUCGGGCACCGAUGCGGGGAGCCGUUCAGCGGGGAUGCUAAGACUAUAUUUAACUUUCCUCGGCUCUGCGCGGUCCGCCAGGCAAACAUGGAGACAGCCAGGAAAUGGCUUCAGGCCUGCAAGGCCUGGGAGGAGCCUCUUGCCCAGGCUGUAGCCCGAGGCAGGGUUGGGCAUCGGGUUCCUUCUCAGAUCCUUUCGCCGUCUCUGCUGUUGCCUCUUACUCUGUUCUGUUGGAUCAAAUCCUCUUGGCUGGGUGGGGGAGAUGGUGCCUUAGGCCCAGAAGACAAGGUCUCCACCACAAAUUUUGCAAAAAUCUCCUCCAGAUCCUUGUGUCCCCAGCAUUGUUGCCAGCCAGGUGUGGGCCCCUGAGGAGCAAUGAUAGAACUUUCUGGAAGCUCCCAGCACCCUCGGUUUAAGGCCUGAAGGCCCAAAGCGUAGAGCUCCAUAUUGUGAUCAGGACCCGUGUCUCGGCUGGACCCAGUGGGGUAGAUUUGUGCGCCUGUGAAGCACGUGUCCGGAGAAGUGUUUCUGAGAGCCCAGGGGAGGAAUGGUCACGGCAGCCCUCUACGUUUAUUGAACACCUACUUGGUGCCACGCACAGUGCAAAGUGCAUUUCCCGUAUCAGCCCAUUUCUCCUUGAGUCAGGCCAACGUGACGGGCACCCCGUCAUCCCCAUUCAUUCAAUAGGCCUCCCUUGUGCCACCCUUGGGGACACAACAGUGAACAAGACAGAAGUGUUCCCAAGAGGACCUGUGUGUGUUUUGCUCUUGAGAACCAAUUUUCUAGUUUGGGUGUGGGUCUGGGUGGGAGCUGGGUAAUGAGACAGACUUUGAACAGCCCGGACAGCCCUUUCUUCAUCACCGGCCAUUGGACACCUGCCCCUGACUGGGUGCCGUGGUGAGCCCGAGGAUGAGAAGGAAGUGGACCAUGUCUCCCUUCCCUCUGUGAGAGGAGCCCACUGUGUGUGACCAGCGCUGUCAUCCAGUGUGGCAGCCCUCGCCUGAAGGUGUGUUCAAGGUGCAAAAGGAGACUGCAAAGGUUUUGAAGAGGGAGGGUCUAGAAGGAACUGGGCACAUGAUCCUAAGACUUGAUUUGU